rnacentral:lncRNA from 1 species
ACACAGCUCAUCUGUCAGGCGGGGCAGCUCCUACAGCUCUUCCAUGAGCACAGGAGGAGGUGGUGCAGGCUCCCUGGGUGCAGGCGGUGCCUUUGGUGCAGCUGCAGGAGACGGGGGUCCCUAUGGCACUGACAUCGGCCCAGGCGGAGGCUAUGGGGCAGCAGCAGAAGGCGGCAUGUAUGCUGGCAAUGGCGGACUAUUGGGAGCUGACUUUGCUGGAGGUCUGGAUUACAAUGAGCUGGCUGUGAGGGUGUCAGAGAGCAUGCAGCGUCAGGGCCUACUGCAAGGGAUGGCCUACACUGUCCAGGGCCCACCAGGCCGGCCUGGGCCGCAGGGGCCACCCGGCAUCAGCAAGGUCUUCUCUGCCUACAGCAACGUGACUGCGGACCUCAUGGACUUCUUCCGAACUUAUGGAGCCAUUCAAGGACCCCCUGGGCAAAAAGGAGAGAUGGGCACUCCAGGACCCAAAGGUGACAGGGGCCCUGCUGGGCCACCAGGUCAUCCUGGGCCACCUGGCCCUCGAGGACACAAGGGAGAAAAAGGAGACAAAGGUGACCAAGUCUAUGCUGGGCGGAGAAGGAGAAGAAGUAUUGCUGUCAAGCCGUGAGCUAGCCAUGGCAGGACAGCUCCUGGACCAGGCCCAUACUAGAGUUCAUGGAUAUGUUAUACUGAACCAGGCCAGGGCAAACAGAAAAAGACGGUUGAGGGCAAUGGACAAGGAAGGAAUUAAGGGAGAAGAGGGAAAACAGAAAACCUGAUGCUGGGGACACAGCAUCAGCUCAAGACGUCACCCUCCAUUCUGCACUCAGAAAAUGGCACUUGGGGGGACUGGGCGCAGUUGGUCUUUAACCACUUUUCAAUGUCUAAAAACAUUUGUUUGUGGUCUAUAAGAUGAAACAUCAUUUCAAUUGUAAAAUUUCCCAUUAAAGAAGUUUUUUUUUCUUUUUUAAUAUCAUGUUUAAUGUGAUUCGUCUGACCAAAG